GUCAAUUUCUAUUUUAUUAUCUUUAUCUUUCAGGCACUUCUGAAAUUAACUUCCUAAUUACUGGGUUUUAUUUUAGAUAGGCAUGCUUUAGUUUGCUUUGUAGUGGCAUCUUGCGAUCCUUUUCCAACUUGGUUAUUGUUAGAAGAAAGACCUUUUUGUUAGUGGGAUUUCAAGAAUUUAAAGUAACCCGAAAACUUAUAGAUAACUCUUGGGAACUUCUGAAAGCAUUUUGGUAUUUUUCCUAGGCUUGUUGUAACUUCGAUAUAUUGCUACCUUUAUGGAAGCAUUUGUAAUUGUUUGAAACUUUGAAUGAUGGUUGCUUGGUUUUAUCGCUGAUUUAAACCUAUGGGUUUCCUUAUGCUUCUUUGACUUUUCAACUCUACAGCUCUUAUCUUGACUAGUUAUUUAUAAUCUGUUACCCAAUAUGACAAAGCUCAUGAUUUUCUGUUUUCCACCUCACCUUCUGGCUCUUUUUGAAAUGUUUCAAAUUCCUGUCCUUAAAAUGGAGGAAGAAUCCAAAGACAAACUUGGUUUCUGUUUUUGAAUCUCUCAGCGUGUGUGCACAUCAUGUUGAAGAAAUUGAGAAGGAUCAUUUUCUUCAUGUUUGCCUGCAUGAUCACUUAUUGACAUGUGACAAAUUUUUUGUAGGUGGAUGGUGGUUUAGGGCCUU
rnacentral:misc_RNA from 1 species